CAAAGGUGAGCCAGUACAGGAUGGACCCGCGUCUGAUUAGCUAGUUGGUAAGGUAACGGCUUACCAAGGCGACGAUCAGUAGCCGACCUGAGAGGGUGAUCGCCCACAUUGGAACUGAGACACGGUCCAAACUCCUACGGGAGGCAGCAGUGGGGAAUAUUGCACAAUGGGCGAAAGCCUGAUGCAGCAACGCCGCGUGAGUGAUGAAGGCCUUCGGGUCGUAAAACUCUGUCCUCAAGGAAGAUAAUGACGGUACUUGAGGAGGAAGCCCCGGCUAACUACGUGCCAGCAGCCGCGGUAAUACGUAGGGGGCUAGCGUUAUCCGGAUUUACUGGGCGUAAAGGGUGCGUAGGCGGUCUUUCAAGUCAGGAGUGAAAGGCUACGGCUCAACCGUAGUAAGCUCUUGAAACUGGGAGACUUGAGUUCAGGAGAGGAGAGUGGAAUUCCUAGUGUAGCGGUGAAAUGCGUAGAUAUUAGGAGGAACACCAGUUGCGAAGGCGGCUCUCUGGACUGUAACUGACGCUGAGGCACGAAAGCGUGGGGAGCAAACAGGAUUAGAUACCCUGGUAGUCCACGCUGUAAACGAUGAGUACUAGGUGUCGGGGGUUACCCCCUUCGGUGCCGC
rnacentral:rRNA from 1 species